CCCAUGGGGUGGGAAACUCUGCUCUAGGGCAAAGCAGGCAGGGUAAUGCAUUGGUCCGCCAUCAACUCCACUGGCUUCUCCAUUUCCAUACCUUUACGUUCUCUCUCUGUCUCACUCUCACACUCCCUCAGUUUCUCUUGUCAAUAUUUGAUGGAAUGUGACUCUUUCCCCCUAAACCUCUAGCCAUGAAUUUCCUGAUUGGAUGAAGUAUGAGCCACGACCAAUUACAGAGAAUGUGUGGUGUCAUGUGAGAUGGAGUUGAUCUGGAUGUGCAGCCAUGUUUGGAAUAGCUCUGAACUGCAGAUUUCAUUAUGAAGGCACCGCUGGUUCUGCAUUUGUAUCCAUCUGGAAUCCAGGAGAUGAAAUGGAGCAGUGAAGUUCCUCAGUGUCCAAAUCACAAAGGACUUAAAAUGGCCCACUCCCACAUGCACAGUCGGGAAGAAGGCGCAACCUCUACAUCAGGCGGAGUGAAAGGAAGGCCGGCCCGGACUCCAGCCAGGCAAGCGGUACCAGUGCAACAAGUCUGACACCAACAGGCUCCUGAACAACUUCUAUCCUCAAUCCAUAAGACCCCUAAAUAGCUAACAUAACUUCUACACAGACUGAGUUUACUCUUGUAUUUUAUAUUAUUUAUUUAAUGAAAUGUUUAUCUCUAUGCACACUCACAGGACUCUACACACUCUGACACACAUAACCUGCUCACACAUUUAUACUGACUCUACACAUGCACACACACACACACACAACAUGCACUCACAUUUAUACUGACUCUAUACUAUAUACUGACAUGCACACACACUCACAUACAAUCAGAAUUGAUGCUGCUGCUACUCUAUGUAUCAUAUAUCCUGAUGCCUAGUCACCUUACCCCUACACAUAUCUACCUCUUUCACUCCAGUAUCCCUGCACAUUGUAAAUAUGGUACUAGAACUAACCUGGUGCAUAGCUUCUUACUUUCUCUUGUUCUUAUUUCUAUUUGAUGUGUUUUUGUUCUACCUUAUUUUAUUUUUAGUGCUACAUUGAUAUUGAUUACUGCUUUGUUGGGCUUGUAGCUUGCAAGAAAGGCCUUUCACUGUACUUGUGCAUGUGACAUUAAAAUUCAUCAUUUGUGGGGAUGAAAUUUGGAGUCCCAAACUAAAUGCCUCUGUAGCGCCAAACGUACCGAGUUGAUUUAUGUGCUCUAGAAUGUUUUAAUUAAAUGCCCGGGCUUUUCACAUUUUUUUUUUAUCAUGUUAAAUAUUAGCCACUAUGGAUAGCCACUGUCAAUAAUUCCCACAUCCAUUUAUAACUGUCACUUUAGUGUUAGUUUCCUUCCAUUUGUAGCCUACAUUUUGCAUCAAUCCAUUCCAUUUACCUUUCUUUCCUUUGUGACGUCCGUAUAGUUGUUCCUGAGGAUCAUAUUAGGCUGUUGUGCAAUAAUUUGUGACAUGUAGCCUAUUUGAAUCAUUAUGUAUAUCAUGUUUCAGGUAAGACCCAAAUGCAGACUGUGUUGAAGUAACAAUGCUUAUUACAGCAACAGGAGCAGGCAAACGACAGGUCAAGGCAGCAGGGGUCGAUAAUCCAGAGUAGUGGGACAAAGGUACAGGAAGGCAGACAGGCUCAAGGUCAGGUCAGGCAGAGGUCGGUAAUCCAGAGUAGGGGCAAAGAUGUAGGACGGCAGGCUCAGGGUCAAGGGAAGGCAGAGUGGUCAGGCAGGUAAGGGUCAAAACCAGGAGAGCAAGAAUAAGAGAGACUGGGGGAAAAGCAGGCGCCGAGACAAAACGCAGGUUGACUUGACAAACAAGAUGAACUGGCAACAGACAAACAGAGAACACAGUUAUACGUACCCAGGGGAUAAUGGGGAAGAUGGGCGACACCUGGGAGGAAGGAGACAAGCAUAAGGACAGGUGAUACAGAUCAGGGUGUGACAAUGAAACUCAGACCACACUUAGCAUUUUAAACCUGGAGCCUGGCGUUCGGUUCACGACAACUGGACCGUUGUAAUUACAGUUCCAUGAUUAGUGGGGAUUAGAGUAAACUAUUGUUCAAGAACACCUUCCAAUAUUUCAUGGAUUGAACAAUAAAUGCCAUAUGUUGGUAACUUUCAGCAUGAAUCAAACCACUGUAUUUUUUUAUUCAUCAAUAUAUUUCACGUGUAA